UUUUCCUAGCUCUUUUACAUUCGGUUAAAGAUUACCGGGAACAGUUUUUAAAGUUAUUCUAUGCGCCGCUGGAUGAUCAGGUGGAUGAAGUGAAAGUUUAGGGAAAUACGUUUUCCUUGAGCUGUACGACAGUAAUACAAGUGUUACGACAGUAAUAGUUCGGUUUAGAUUAUUUUUAGGUGACUAUUCUCGUUAAACGCCAAAAUUAUCCUAUACUAAAAAAGAUAACUGCAUGUAUCGUUCUAAUUUAUACCUACUAUCGUUGAGUCAUAGGUGAUUGCAACUGUUCGAAUUGAGUUAUUAUUGAAUUGGAUCCUAACCUAAUUAGGUUUAACCCUUUCGGCACUAAAGGUGACUAUUGUCAUGAAACGUGAGUCUCGUCGUACAUUAAAUGUAACUAUAUAUCUUUUUCAUUUACAGAUAGCAUCGUUGCUUCGUAAGUGACUAUUACACUUUGAAUAAGGUUAUGUUAUAUUUAAUCCUUUCUACUUGCUAUUAAAGGUGACUACGUAUAGUUAGAGAAUAGCGAGCUCGUGGUAAACUAAAGAUAACUACAACUAUUCAACGAGUGUUCACUAUAUGUUAAAGAUGACUAUAAUCGACUAACAUUGAACGCUCGUUAUAACCACGUAUGAAUAUAGUUACACGAAGUUGAACUCUUUCCAUAGUAAAAUAUAACAGGAUGAUUAUGAACGAAGACACUUAUACGACAUCUUGAAAGAUAAGUUAACAACUCUGGUUGAACACAGCAUAGUAUGCUAUUUUCUCAUUUGCUUUCUUUUGCUCAAUUUGCAUUCUUACGCAAUAUGUUUACACCAACAUAAAAUAUAGUCUCAUGACUCAGUUGUCUCGUGAAUGUAGCGAAAGGAUUAAAGUGUUUCAUGUCAAUAAAGUAUUUCAGUAUUUUUGUACGAUAUA